rnacentral:rRNA from 1 species
AACGAACGCUGGCGGCAUGCCUAACACAUGCAAGUCGAACGAGACCUUCGGGUCUAGUGGCGCACGGGUGCGUAACGCGUGGGAACCUGCCCUUAGGUUCGGAAUAACUCCCCGAAAGAGGUGCUAAUACCGGAUAAUGUCUUCGGACCAAAGAUUUAUCGUCUUUGGAUGGGCACGCGUUGGUUUAGCUAGUUGGUAGGGUAAAAGCCUACCAAGGCGACGAUCCAUAGCUGGUCUGAGAGGAUGAUCAGCCACACUGGGACUGAGACACGGCCCAGACUCCGACGGGAGGCAGCAGUGGGGAAUAUUGGACAAUGGGCGAAAGCCUGAUCCAGCAAGGCCGCGAGAGUGAUGAAGGCCUUAGGAUUGUAAAGCGCUUUUACCCGGGAUGAUAAGGACAGUACCGGGAGAAUAAGCUCCGGCUAACUCCGU